GAAGGUAUAGCUCAGUGGUAGAGCACAUGCUUAGCAUGCACAAGGUCCUGGGUUCAAUCCCCAGUCCCUCCA
rnacentral:tRNA from 1 species